AGACAAAGAUCCCUGCAUCGACCAACACAGACCCUCACAAAACUAGUCAGUUUCUCCUCGCAGCAAAAGCUUACAAAUUAGCUCAUGUUGACAGAUGUUUGUCACUUAGUAACUUCUCUCCCAGUCCCCCCCCCGCACUAUUUCCCCUCUUCUCUCGCUCUCUCGCCCCCCCCCGCAAUCCCUUCUUUGGGGGCUCGCUUUGUUGUUUUUAAAAUAUGCAGGCCUCUCAGGAAUGCCAGUCACGAGUCCAAACUUUGUGUCCAGCCUCCCUCGCGAAAUGACCCUUUUAUAGGGAUCCCGAUAUGUCUCAAUCUGCACUUCGCUCCGAGGCCGGGCUCCCUGCUCCCAAGCGCGGCAGCAGAAGCGCGCGGCUACCUCAGCAGGGAGGCCAGCAGACGCGUCCCCAGGAAGACGCUCUCCAGGGGAUGGGACGGAACUGCAGCUCUCCUUCUUGCAGAAGGUGCCAAAGGACAGCGGAGCCUGGGAAAAAGAAGGGAGGGGCAGGGAGAGAGGGGCAAAUGAUGGAGAGAGAAAGUUUUAUUUCUCUUCUGAUCGCUAUGAUUGGCCUAUGACUACCCGAGCAAGCCCAGGCUGAGUGGCCUGGGGAGGCAGUGCUUGGGGAAAGGAAGAGAAGAAGGAACAGCCGAAGGAAAGGCUCCGCUUUCAAAUUGGGUCCAGAAGCAGCGAGAACACAACCCAGGCGACGGCACGAGAUGCAGAGCAAGGGGCUGGUGGGACCACACCGGAAGGAGGAGAAACCUCAAUCGUGACACUUUGGAGAGGAGGGAAAAAACUCAUUUGUGUCACCAGACGGUGAAGGUAAAUCGAAACUGGCUUCAGGAGUUCAACAGAUUGAGUGAGAAAAAAGAUCUUUCGGCAGGGAGGGGGGAAAUCGCCCCUCCCGGCAAAGGCGGACCCUGUUUCAGAAGGAAUGGAAAACUCUGCUGCCCCGGCCUCGCACCGGGAGGCCCAGGGCGGAGAGGCGGCGUCCUGGGAGCGUCCAGGAUCUUUAAAAAAGUUCUUCGCUAUCUGAUUUGUCACAAAAUAGAAAUUCUGUUAGAAUAAAAAAUAAACGUUUCAACCAAGUAUUAGAAGCAA